GACGAACGCUGGCGGCGUGCUUAACACAUGCAAGUCGAACGGCAAGGCCCUACUUUUGUGCUGUGCUCGAGUGCCGAACGGGUGAGUAUCACGUGUGUAACCUGCCCUUGACUUUGGGGUAAGUUCAGGAAACUGGGGCUAAUCCCGUAUAGGAGCUCCUGCUGCAUUGUGGGGGUUGGAAAGUUUCGGCGGGUGGGGAUGGACUCGCGGCUUAUGAGCUUGUUGGUGGGGUAGUGGCUUACCAAGGCAUUGACGGGUAGCCGGCCUGUGAGGGUGACCGGCCACAAUGGGACUGAGAUACGGCCCAGACGCCUACGGGGGGCAGCAGUGGGGAAUAUUGCACAAUGGGCGGAAGCCUGAUGCAGCAACGCCGCGUGCGGGAUGACGGCCUUCGGGUUGUAAACCGCUUUCGCCUGUGACGAAGCGUGAGUGACGGUAAUGGGUAAAGAAGCACCGGCUAACUACGUG
rnacentral:rRNA from 1 species